rnacentral:snoRNA from 1 species
CAUGAUGAGUUUUACACUAAUCUUUCGGGUAUGAAAUUUAAUGAUUUCACUCUUUACUACUGA